rnacentral:rRNA from 1 species
GAUGAACGCUGGCGGCGUGCCUAAUACAUGCAAGUCGAGCGAACGGACGAGAAGCUUGCUUCUCUGAUGUUAGCGGCGGACGGGUGAGUAACACGUGGAUAACCUACCUAUAAGACUGGGAUAACUUCGGGAAACCGGAGCUCAUACCGGAUAAUAUUUUGAACCGCAUGGUUCAAAAGUGAAAGACGGUCUUGCUGUCACUUAUAGAUGGAUCCGCGCUGCAUUAGCUAGUUGGUAAGGUAACGGCUUACCAAGGCAACGAUGCAUAGCCGACCUGAGAGGGUGAUCGGCCACACUGGAACUGAGACACGGUCCAGACUCCUACGGGAGGCAGCAGUAGGGAAUCUUCCGCAAUGGGCGAAAGCCUGACGGAGCAACGCCGCGUGAGUGAGGAAGGUCUUCGGAUCGUAAAACUCUGUUAUUAGGGAAGAACAUAUGUGUAAGUAACUGUGCACAUCUUGACGGUACCUAAUCAGAAAGCCACGGCUAACUACGUG